GAUGAACGCUGGCGGCGUGCCUAACACAUGCAAGUCGAGCGGAAGGACGCUGCUUGCGCGUCGCUGGAGUUGCGGACGGGUGAGUAAGUAAUAGGUGGAUAACCGAUCUCUAUGGCUGAGGUAAGGUCAGGAGAGCGGAUCUCAGAUCGGACCAUAUCUUGAACCGGAGGGUUCAAAAGAGCAAGACCGUCUAGCUGUGACUUAGCGACCUAUCCGCGCUGCAGUAGCUAGUUGGUAAGGUAACGGCUUACCGAGGCAACGAUGCGUAGCCGAGCUGAGAGGGUGAUCGGCCACACUGGAACUGAGACACGGUCCAGACUCCUACGAGAGGCAGCAGUCGGGAAUGUUGCACAAUGGGCGAAAGCCUGACGGAGCAAGGCCGCGUGAGUGAUGAAGGUCUUCGGAUCGUAAACCGCUUUUAGUUGGGAAGAACAUAUGUGUCAGUAACUGUGCCCAUUUUGACGGUACCUAAUCAGAAAGCCACGGCUAACUUCGUG
rnacentral:rRNA from 1 species